rnacentral:rRNA from 1 species
GACGUAGGGUGCGAGCGUUGUCCGGAUUUAUUGGGCGUAAAGAGCUCGUAGGCGGCUCGUCGCGUCGACCGUGAAAACCCGCGGCUUAACUGCGGGCUUGCGGUUGAUACGGGCGGGCUAGAGUUCGGUAGGGGAGACUGGAAUUCCUGGUGUAGCGGUGAAAUGCGCAGAUAUCAGGAAGAACACCCGUGGCGAAAGCGGCUCUCUGGAACGGUACUGACGCUGAGACGCGAAAGCGUGGGGAGCGAACAGG